rnacentral:rRNA from 1 species
GACGAACGCUGGCGGCGUGCUUAACACAUGCAAGUCGAACGGAAAGGCCCUGCUUUUGUGGGGUGCUCGAGUGGCGAACGGGUGAGUAACACGUGAGUAACCUGCCCUUGACUUUGGGAUAACUUCAGGAAACUGGGGCUAAUACCGGAUAGGAGCUCCUGCUGCAUGGUGGGGGUUGGAAAGUUUCGGCGGUUGGGGAUGGACUCGCGGCUUAUCAGCUUGUUGGUGGGGUAGUGGCUUACCAAGGCUUUGACGGGUAGCCGGCCUGAGAGGGUGACCGGCCCAAUUGGGGCCGGGGUACGGGCCAGACCCCUACGGGGGGGAGGAGUGGGGAAAUUUGGCAAAUGGGCGGAAGCCUGAUGCAGCAACGCCGCGUGCGGGAUGACGGCCUUCGGGUUGGAAACCGCUUUCGCCUGGGACGAAGGGUGGGGGACGGUAAUGGGGAAAGAAGCACCGGCCAACUAAGGGC